rnacentral:rRNA from 1 species
UGACGGUACCUGACUAAGAAGCCCCGGCUAACUACGUGCCAGCAGCCGCGGUAAUACGUAGGGGGCAAGCGUUAUCCGGAUUUACUGGGUGUAAAGGGAGCGUAGACGGCAAGGCAAGUCUGAUGUGAAAGGCAGGGGCUCAACUCCUGGACUGCAUUGGAAACUGUCUGGCUGGAGUACCGGAGGGGUAAGCGGAAUUCCUAGUGUAGCGGUGAAAUGCGUAGAUAUUAGGAGGAACACCAGUGGCGAAGGCGGCUUACUGGACGGUAACUGACGCUGAGGCUCGAAAGCGUGGGUAGCGAACAGGAUUAGAUACCCUG